rnacentral:rRNA from 1 species
AUGCAAGUCGAGCGAACUGACGAGGAGCUUGCUCCUUUGACGUUAGCGGCGGACGGGUGAGUAACACGUGGGUAACCUACCUAUAAGACUGGAAUAACUCCGGGAAACCGGGGCUAAUGCCGGAUAACAUGUUGAACCGCAUGGUUCAACAGUGAAAGACGGUCUUGCUGUCACUUAUAGAUGGACCCGCGCCGCAUUAGCUAGUUGGUGGGGUAAUGGCCUACCAAGGCAACGAUGCGUAGCCGACCUGAGAGGGUGAUCGGCCACACUGGAACUGAGACACGGUCCAGACUCCUACGGGAGGCAGCAGUAGGGAAUCUUCCGCAAUGGACGAAAGUCUGACGGAGCAACGCCGCGUGAGUGAUGAAGGUCUUCGGAUCGUAAAGCUCUGUUGUUAGGGAAGAACAAAUGUGUAAGUAACUGUGCACAUCUUGACGGUACCUAACCAGAA